rnacentral:rRNA from 1 species
CUCAGAUUGAACGCUGGCGGCAUGCCUUACACAUGCAAGUCGAACGGCAGCACGGGCUUCGGCCUGGUGGCGAGUGGCGAACGGGUGAGUAAUACAUCGGAACGUGCCCUGUUGUGGGGGAUAACCAGUCGAAAGAUUGGCUAAUACCGCAUACGACCUGAGGGUGAAAGCGGGGGACCGCAAGGCCUCGCGCAGCAGGAGCGGCCGAUGUCUGAUUAGCUAGUUGGUGGGGUAAAGGCCCACCAAGGCGACGAUCAGUAGCUGGUCUGAGAGGACGAUCAGCCACACUGGGACUGAGACACGGCCCAGACUCCUACGGGAGGCAGCAGUGGGGAAUUUUGGACAAUGGGGGCAACCCUGAUCCAGCAAUGCCGCGUGUGUGAAGAAGGCCUUCGGGUUGUAAAGCACUUUUGUCCGGAAAGAAAACCUCUGCCCUAAUACGGCGGGGGGAUGACGUACCGAAG